UACGGGAGGCAGCAGUGGGGAAUAUUGCACAAUGGGCGAAAGCCUGAUGCAGCUAUGCCGCGUGUAUGAAGAAGGCCUUAGGGUUGUAAAGUACUUUCAUCGGGGAGGAAAAACAAAACUAAUAAUUUUAUUUCUUGACGUUACCCGAAAAAGAAGCACCGGCUAACUCCGUGCCAGCAGCCGCGGUAAUACGGAGGGUGUUAGCGUUAAUCAGAAUUACUGGGCGUAAAGAGCACGUAGGUGGUUUUUUUAAGUCAGAUGUGAAAUCCCUGGGCUUAACCUGGAACUGCAUUUUGAAACUGAAAUACUAGAGUAUCGUAGAGGGAGGUAGAAUUCUAGGUGUAGCGGUGAAAUGCGUAGAUAUCUGGAGGAAUACCUGUGGCGAAAGCGGCCUCCUAAACGAAUACUGACACUGAGGGUGCGAAAGCGUGGGGAGCAAACAGGGAUUAGAUACC
rnacentral:rRNA from 1 species